UGGUCUCUGGGCAUUUAGGUCAAGGGCCGGGUUUGCUGUCUCCCUUUCAGAUCUCCCUCCGGUUGCUUCUUACCGUGAACUUUGGUGGGUGAGAGAGCAGGAGGCGGCUGAAGGGAGGAGGAGUUGUGAGGAGUGAGAGGGGGAGCAGAGGUGGGCUGCGGCCCGCUGAAGUUGUCCAUGGCCAGCUUGUGCCGGAAGGCCUCCUCCUUCCUGCGGUUGGCAAACCAGUUGUAAACUCGCACCUCGGUCACCAGGUUUGAGCCCAGACCCUGGGCCUGAGAUGGGGAAACGCCUCUCUGAAUACAUUCUGCUCUGUUAGGAGAAAGCACAAAAAGAGUUUUGCUGAGUCUGCUUCGGUCAAAGGCACGCAGUACGUGUGCAACCCCAAAGUGACGGCGGUCUUACACACCACAGGGGAGGAUCCUGCUGGGUACAGCAAGAUGUGGGGCAUUACUGCAUCCUUAGCAAAAGGAAUGCUCACGAGUCUCGAUUCAAAUGUGGCUGAUGCCACAAGCCUGCUUCAUGUGGGCCUUGGCACACCAAGCAUGCAGAGGCCCUGCUCCGAUUCUUCAGAUCCAGGCACCCUUCUUUACCUGUUGCACUCUUCCACCAGUGCCUCUCUCUCUUCUUUGCUGGGGUUCUUCUGUCUCUCGUAGGCUUGGAACAGAAUCUGUUGUGAGGCAGGACCCCAUUUAAAGCGAUUUCUUCGUCCCUUCUUGGUGGGCAGAUCAUCUCCCAUGGGCUCCUCUGUCAAGAUCCCCUGACCAGCAUGUGUGAAUUCUGCAGGCACAAAAGGGCAAGGGAGUUUAGAGGAAAUGUCAUGGGAAACAGAGGGCUGAAUCUAGAAGGGGCAGAAAUCAAGUUCCGUAAUCUGCUAAAACAGUUAAGAUGUUCCUAGCAGGACUGUGGUGACCUACCCCUUCUCUUACUUGCAUUGCAUCUCAGCUCCCACCCUGGGGAAGUGAAAACAGAUGUGGGAGGCUUGAGAGUAAGUAUGAUUGGGGUCCUGCUCUUCAGAACAACCCAGAGGCUGACAGUCUUGUUUCAAUUGCAACUCAUGAAUACAAAGUUAAGUGAGAGAUUGCAGACAGGUUCUUGAAUAUAGAACUGCAUGCUGCAGUGAUGGGUUGCCAGUGGGUGUCUGUAUAGAGAGGGCCUGGAGCGUGAGGUGAUAGCCAGCAGUGUUACAGCAAGUACAAUAGUUUGCUGCUUUUUGCAGCUAGGGGAACUGUUGCUUUAGCUGAAAAUUGUACCAGCCUGGUGCUCAGACAGAAAUGCCUGAAAAAUGUCUGUGAUGUGUCAGGCACACUGUUUUAGUGUGAGGAUGGAUUUCAAGCUCCAAUGGCAAAUGAAUAAUGUUAGUUUGCAUCUCUUUAGCAACAUGAUGGGUGGAGUGGGUAACUGCAGGCUGUUUUGUGAUGGGGCAUUUUUCCAUGUGCGGUUAGGUUCACUUUACUGAAUACUGACAUGGAUUUCUCUAAGCUUGCUUCCAGAAAUGGCUUUUCCUGCAUUUUUUUCCUUGAUAGAAAUGUGCAGUAAGGAUCAGCAAGGGAGAGCAGAGGCUUUUAUGAAGUUGGAAACUGCAGAACAGUUACUGCUGUACUUACGCUGGGCCACCUCUCGCUGCUUGCGGACGUACCAGGUGUAAAGGGCUGCCCUUUUUUGGGUCUUCAUGGGAGUGCCCUUGUUGAGGUGUUGUGAGAGGUGGGAUUGGUUCAGACCAGUCGUGUCCACCACCUCGCGCUGAGGGAUGUUGUGCUGUUGGAGGUAGGAUUUCACCAUCUUUGCUACCCGCCAGGGAUCCUCUCUGGAAGGAGCAGAAAAUACUUCUCAGGAGAGCACUCUGUAGCACCUGCACUCGGCAGACCCGCAUUCCAAGGAGGUGCACUGGUGCUUCCCUAGGUGCACCAUGCAUAUCAGUCAGCACCACUGCAUGUGGUGAGGCAGGGGUGUUAACUGGCUGGAGAAAGGAGAGCUGUUCUCAGUGUGGCCAGGGCACAGCAUCUGUCAGAAAUUAGGUGGAAAAGAUGUAUCUAGCUUCCUUUAAGCAGCUCUCUGUAGGCACUUUGAUCUCCCCUUAGAAAGAGCCAUCUUUGGCUAUCAGGGGAACUUUCCAAAAACAUGGCAGCAGUCUUUGCCAUCUGUGCUUAUUUUUAUGCAAGGCUUUGCCCUGCUCUGUUCAGGCAACUGCCAUCUGUAAAUGAUAGAAGGUGCUGACAAGUGACACAGACAAGGAAUGUACAUCCCUUUCUGCUGGGAAGUAAUAAAACAUUUUUUGCUGCUAGUGAAUAAUGCGGUGGGGAGAGAAGUGACACUGGAUCUCAGCAUUCAGCUGGAUAUGUUACGACUACAGGUAUCUAUUUUUCAGAGAUGACAACUAUCUUGCCAUUCUCUACUUACUUUUCUUCUCUAUCCUCUUUAAGGCAUAAGUGCUUGGGAUAGGUGCAAUUCAUUUUUCCAAGGCAGAUUCACUGUGUUACUAUGCUGAACCUAGCUCAUGCCCUUAAUCUUGUCAGGGAUGAGAAACAUGGCAGAGAUUCAGGCAGUGAAAACAGGCUUUCAUCAUACUGUCAGAGGACAGCUAUGCAUGUAAUAUGUAUACACCAAGCAAUCUGGCAUUAUGUGCAUCAGCCUUGCAUUAUUAACAUCUGAUUAACAUCUAGAUCCACUCAGACUCCUACUUGCUAUAAAGAACAGGCAACCUAUUCCUCCUAUUGCCACUCUCCUUUGGGGUAACAACUGGAGGAAAACUUGAAGCUAAUCUGAUUUGAGAUUUUAUAAUGAACGUGAAUCUCUGAUUAAGACCUCUGAUUAGAACAUCCACAACUGUUCCUAAGGAGGCGUUCAGUGCCAGUUUGGAUGGGGCCCAGCCUCAUCUAGUGGGUGCCUUGCCCACAGCAGGGGAAUUAAAGCUAGAUGAUCUUUAAGGUCCCUUCCAAGCUGAGGCAUUCUAUGAACUUGUGAGAACAGACAACGUGACUUUGACUGCGACUUCUUUGUGUUUGUCAGUUUCACUGAGGCUGAAAAUUACAGUAAAAAUAGAAAGAUGGAAAAACAGGCAGUCUAGAACCAACCAACUCAGGAGCGUCUAUGGAAAAGAUUCUGGUUCAGUUUUAACAAAGCAUCCUUCUGUUUUUGUAUGCAGGAUAUCUGGUGGAGAAGGUUUGCACACUGUAGAAGUACAGUGGUGCUGCAUCUAACACCAGCAUCAAAGGAGCAACGGGGAUGAAAAAAUAUUUCUAAUAUUAUGGGUGAUGUGUUGCAAGAAUACAGAGAUCUGAGCAACUGGCAACAGCUGUACUGUUGGAGGCUUUGUUGAUUCAAUAGGUUGCCAGAGGCUGCAAAGUGAUAAGCAGGACAAAGUCCACACCUGUUCUCUCAGUGCAAAUACCCUUAUCUCUGUUCCCUUCACAGCCUUUCACAGUGGCUGGGUAGUCCAAGGAGCAAGCUCUGCUGCCAUUGUAUGUAUGGCGGAAGCAGGGUUGGUUACAGCUCUCUGAAGAAUCUGUUUUCUUAAAUUAGGACCAUUUGCUUCUCUGCUAUGAUGGUACACUUGCUUACAGAGCUUCAAUCUUCUAGCCUACUCCCUUAACUACGUCUUUUCAGAAGCCUCAAAUUGGGCUGAAUUUGCAGAGCUUUUCCAUCUUCGGUGUCUUUCCUCCCUCAGUGUUUGUGAUAUGUUCCAGCCAGCACAUGUGCCUUGAAUUUGUUACACACGUCUCUAUACAGAAAAGGCUCCUACUUGUGAUCUCUUCUCUCAGAUUUGAGCUCUGGCUCAGAUGGGGAAAGGAGGGACUGUGUCAUUACUGAUGGAAACCACUGUUACAUAUUGAUUUCCUUCCUGCAGGCUGAUGGUGAGUCACUUCUGUCUUCCCUGUCGAGAUCCUUGCUUCUUUGUGGUAGGAACAAAGAGGGAAGAAUCCAAGAGUCUUUUUUUCACUGUAGUUCAAAGCCUUGUGCUUUCUUUUCUGUUUGUUUGUUUUAUUUUGAGACAAAGCAGAGCGGGUUCUGUAAGGGAAAACACUGCAGGGAAAUCUUACCACAGUAUAAUUUCAUAAGAUAGUUGUGUGUAAUCCAAACUACUCUGUACAUCAUCAAAACGUGGGCUGUAAUAUCAGUGCAGCAAUUUAUUUUGGCCCUGGACUACAUCACAGAACAAGCAAUGGCAGCUGCUCAGCUGAACCCUGAAAGGAGCUGUUGCCCAGAUGCUCAGUUCCACCUGCGGAGACUGCAUCGUUGUCACACACAUCAUAAGGUAAACCUUAAUUCCUUCAGCAGUGGUAGGACUGUCACUGACUGUCAGUUUUCCUGUUUAGCUGUGCUAAAAUCUCACUUCCACGGUGAGUUAGAACUGGGUGUGCCUCACUCAAGCUCUCUUCUACCUGCAAGCCCGUUUUCUGCUUUUUUAAUCUUCGUUCUUCCCAAAUAGAAGCUACCUCUCCAUCCCAUUCUUGCUUUGGAGAUGUUAAGUUCUUCCUGGAAAUUGUUCCACGUAAUGCUUACUUCCCAAAUCUUGCUUUCAGCCUUCAGUCCUGCUUUCAGUCCUGCUUUCAGCUUCUGAGCAUGGCCCCUCUCCCUGACUCCUGUCAGCCACAGGGGCCUGGGUCUUCUCUCCAUUCCAGCUUCCCAUUUUCUUAGUUUUGAGGUCACUUUUUAAGGGCGUUUUCACCUCCCUUUUGUUACCUGAACAAUAAGUAACCCAGGUAGUUAGUUAUAAACUCAAAGGGAACAAGAGGCUGGUUGAUAAUUUAUAGCAACAUCUCAAAUUUAAAUGGAAAGUAAAUAUCAAGUUGUUAGCAUUAAAGAAAACCCAUUCCAGAGAGCUGGAGAUGUAACAUUCGGGGGACAUUCUCUUUCCUUCACUCUUCUUGAAUUUUCCUUCUUUUUCCUUUGUUCCUUUCUUUCCCUUCUUCUUCCCCAUUUUUUCCCUCUAUUUCUCCUUUCCUUCUUUCUUGUUCUCAGAUUCUCAGGCAAGAGAAUCCUUUGUAGGUUCUGAAUCGCUGUUUGGACCAGAGCUCACUUACGCAGAGGUUACUAGAAGCCCUCACUGAUGCCAGUGCACACCUGGAGCCGUGCUGGGCAGAGAGCAGGGAAGGUGAACUGCUGCUAAACCUCUCGCCAUUCUCUGGACGUGCAGUAACUCGAUCUGUCCCUGCUCCCAAGGAUGCCUCUCUCUUGCCUUCUGUAGGUAAUACCAGGCUGUUCUUCCUCUCUGUAGGGUGAUCUGGAAGGAAUGUUGUUGCUCAGAUUGCGAAUUUAUGGAAGAUCAAUGAGACAUUUAGGGAUGAAAUGAUGAAAUGUCAACUCCUCACUACAGAAGCGUUAGUCUGAACUGCCUUUAUCCGUUGUUUUCUGCAGGGACAAAAUGGAAUAGGUGCCCAUAGGAUCACCCAGUUGUGUAGAAGUCUCUUGUCUAAUUCCUAGCUUACUCAGCUUUGUUCUGUGCUUCUAAAACCACGCUUCCAACUUCAGUGGUCCUGUGAGGAUGUGUUGGGUCUCUUGGUGCUGUCACUUUUCCUUUCCAUCUCCUGGGAAGCCUAGCAAUGGACUCCCUCUGGUACUACUAAAAGAGUGAUACUUGCAGUUACCACAAAGACUUGCUUGUAUUGCCUGUAGCUGCCCACAAGUCAAUCUCUCUGUUCAAAUGUGGUCUACAAUAUCAGGCCAGGGAUUGUUAGCCUGAAGAAAGUUCUUUCUGAAGGUGAAAGAGCCUCCAUCUGAUUUCUUGACGUGAAAUCCUUGUGUAGAUGCUGAAAUAGGUAGUUUCGCAAUCAUUGAAGUUCUACUGGGAAUACCUGGGCUUGGAGAUUUCUUGCCUUCCUUCCUUUUAUUCAUUGCUAGAAGUAAUUUCUAUUAUAGAGUAAUUCCUAUUACAGAUUCUUCUGUCCUGUCUGUAAUUACAAUAUUAUUUUAAGGACGUUACCUUUUGGCAUCUGUUAAUGGAAAGGUUUAUUCUUAAAAACAAAGAAAAAGCUUUAGUAAGCAACAACUGCUUAGACAUUAUCAAGCCCUGAUAUUGGUUCAGAUAGUUGGAAUAGAUUCUCAAACAUAAAAUUGCUUUGAAUAUAUUUUCUGAUCAAAGAUCUAUACAAUGUGAUACUUGACAAUACAGACUUCCCAGUGUUUUCACUUUACCUUGAAUAGUUUUAAUCUAUUAUAUUCCUCCAUAAAUACUCUUCUAACUUUUUGGACUCCUGGUGCAUUGCUCUGUCCUGUGGUACUUGGGAUUGAUGAAUGUGGGCUCUGAGGUUCAGAACAAAGCUUUGCAAUUACAACCCAGGGUAAGGCUUAGGAGACUCUGGUUCUCACCUAUCCUUUUCUCUACCCUCUUACGGUUUUAGGUAAGACACAGAAUCUCUGUAGAAGGGCAGUAUUACUCAACUGACUGUCUGCAGAGAGAUGUGGGACUGUUGGCCAGAAACCAUUAAUGUCACAGGUUUGCAAGGGAAGUAAGUCUUGUGCUGAGCCGGAUAACAUGCACAAGAGAAAACAGUAGCAAGCACCUAGGAAGGCAGAGAUGGUCAGAAACCAGAAAUUGUACUAAAGUGAAGUUGGCAGGAAGGAAUUCCCUCCAUACAUGAGCCUGUUCUCAGACCACAGGCGAUAGAACUGAAGUCCUGCUUCACCCAUUCAUUAAAGAAAAUGGGGCAAAGCCAGGAGCUCCUCUUCAGCUUCCAUGGUCUCUCUUGUGGACAGAUACCUGAUCGGAAGUUAAUGAUCAAAAGGCUUAUCAGGGGCUUUUCAUCUAUAAAUUUAUAAGACAAAAGAGAAAUAAUAAAGCCACUGGAUAAUUAGUAACUAGCCAGGGCCCGCCCGGUGCCACUGGUCUCAAACUACCCCAAGACCUGUACGCAGACUCAGGGAGAUGAGAAGGAGGCAAGGGUGAGGGGAAGGAAAUGCAUGGAAGGGAGAGAAAAAUUAGCUAGGAAGACAUUAAAAAGGGGAGGAUUGGCAGCAGAGACAAAACUGAGGAGAGAAGAGGGAAUAGGUCCAAAGAAUGAGGGAGAGAAAGGUAAGGGGAACAAAGGAGGCUAAAAGGUGUAACAGAGAUGGAAGAGCAGAAGAGAAGAAAGAGAGACUGGCCCCAAAAGAAGACUGAAUUAUUGGGAGUGUUUUCCCCACCCGGGUAAGAGCUGAUCCAGUGAAUUUACCUCUGUUGGAUGCAGCUGUCUCAGCUCACAGUCCGCCAUCUUCCAUCUCCUAAGUACUUAUGGUGAGUGCUAACUCUGACCUGCUGUUUUUCUGGCUUUGGCCUUUCUGGUGAGAUUUGAUGUUUUGCUUCUUGUUGUUACCUUUAAUAUUUAUUUUGUUUGCAUGUGAAGAGGAGGGAGACAGCAAUGCCUGAGAAAUUCUCUAACUGUGUUUCAGUUUUAGUGAAGAUUUUAGGUGCAGGUCAUUGCUAUGUCUUGGAUUUUCUGUUAGCUUGAGAUUUCAGAAUGUCCACCCCCCAAAACAGAUGGGCAGAUUCUGCUUCUGAGGUGCCAGACUGCUUGGAUGGACAUGAUCCUUAUUGGGCAAAUCUCUUUGCCCACAGAAAUAUUGUCCCAUGAAGAAUGCCAAAUGGUAACUCCAGUGAAUGUUUCUCUGUCACAAGACUUAGUGGUUAGGGAGCUCUGCCUGUCUUUUGCUAUUAAAAAUGCGUGUAUGCAAAGGCAAAAUAGUGUGGGUGUAAAACCUGCAGUUGUUGCUGCAUAUCUACUUUAUGGCUGUGACAGAGAGCGGAUGGUAGAAGCAGUGGGUUCUGCCUCACUGCAGGUAUUUGAUUUGUGUGCUUUCUACAAGAAAAUCUCCACUGAAGUCAGGAUUACUAAGCACUCAUGGGAUGAGAAGUUCCCUGGUUUGUCUUUGAUCAUCAAUACUUCAAAGAGCAGUAAAGUUAAAAAUAUUUAUCACCUUAAAAUUAGCAGGGAAACUUCACAGCUUCACUUUACCAUCAAGUCACUGGCUAACAUGAUACCUGUUAAGAGUGUGACCAGAUAUUAUUUUUUCUUUCCUUGAUGACUGAAAUCCUGAAUCCAAUAAAAGUAUAAAUGGCGGAAACUAACAUUUAGUCAAAGAUGCAACUUACGCAGCCCACGAACUGUUCUCGAGCCUGAUGAUACAAGCGUUUCAAACUCGUAAUCGGGCUUCGUGGCUCCCUUUAUGCAUUUGAAGUGAAAUUAAAAGAGAAAGUUUGAGCAUCUGUAAGAGUAUGGGGAGUGUUCUCGGGGGAUAGUCGGGCAUGGAUGGAACUCUGCAGCUAGAUCAGUUGUGAGCACGCUGAGCAUAAAAGGUAAGGAAAAGAGACUUAGCGGGAGAAUGCAAGAAAGAGCAGCAAAGAGGAGCAGCAAAUUAUUUCCUUACUGUAAUAGUCUUUCCACCACAGCCUUCUGGUGAGCAGCCUCCUCAGGGCUCAAGUUUUCCAGCUCCUUCAUUAUCGGAGGGGUAAAUUCCUCCCCGUCAUCAGAGGUUUCAUCUUCCGACAACCUGGUUUCCCCCAUUCCAUUGGGGAGAUUGGGGAUUUCGGGGCAGGACUCCCCUUUCUCUGUCUGCAGGGCAUUGAUAGCAUGCUGACUUUCACUCUGGAGCAUGUAGGGUUCCACUUCGCUCAGUGCCUUGAUCAGGGUCUCCUUGGUUAGCCCCGACUCCAGCAGCGCUCCCAGCAGCUCCACUUGAAGAUGGCUCAGCUUCGAGACCAUGGUCUUCAGGCUGCAGUUCUUUGGGUUUGAGUUCCACGUUAUCCUGCUUCCAGCUUCCCUACACCAUGUUCCUGAGGUAACACGCCCGACUGUCAGCAGCGGGCACAGCGCAGCCUCCCGCCUUUACGCCCCCCCAAAAAAAACAAAAUACAAAAUUGAGCCACUUUGGACCCCCCACGACUGUCCUGAGCCAGUGCUGAUAAAGGGACCCUUGGCUAUCUGUUUACAUUGGUAAAUUCUCCAAGGUUCAUAUUUAUCUGUGUGCUUAGCAAGUUACUGAACUUUGGACUUCAGCACUGCAGCAGCAGUUCACAAAGUGCAGAGGGAGAGAAAGCAGGGGGAGGGGGAAAGGGAGGGAAGCGGAGAGAGGAAAAUGAAGGGAUAGAAGGUCUGCCAGCAUGGAAAAGUAAGCCAUGGAAAGAAAACGAAGAGAACAAGAGUGGAAAAACAAGGCUUACUUUUGGCCCCAUUCAUUUUAGAGAAGGAAGAGGUAGAGUACGUACGAGGAAGAGUUGCGUUCGCCAAUGUUGGAAGGUUGCAGAGCCUACUCUGAGCUCUAGCUGUGGUGGGUUGAGCUACUCUCAGCUCUUGCUGAGAGCUUUGGGCUGCAAAAAUACUGCCUCGGCAGCUUGGUUUGCCUUUGUACAGCCCUCCAGCAGAGACGAGUGACCACUGGGUUGGUUUGAGCGUUCCCAAGACCCGCAGGAUGUUCUGGAGCUCCUGCUGACUUCUGUGGCAGAGCAUUGAGUCUUAAAUGAUUUUUUUUUUUUUCUUUUGCCUUUGGCUUGCUGGGUACCUUAAUAUGCAAACAUCAGCACUUGCCAGAAGAACUUGCUACGUUUAUUGCUGAAUUGAUGAGAAAAAGCUGUGUACACACGUAAUUCAGAUACUGCUUGCCCCAUUGAGCUUGUGAUUCAAGCACAUGGUAGGGACUAGCCCUGGGUGUUGGUACAUGCUGAGAAUCCCUAUCUGCAGCUGCCCUGCUUCUGAGAAGUGCUCUGGGCAGCUUUGGCUCCCAUUUAUCACCUACGUCUCUUGAUACCAACCCUGCUCUAAUGUUCUACUCCCACCUGUUGUUUGAAUCCUGAAAACAUGCUCUGUAACUUCACUGGAAAAAUUUAGGGCAAUUCUCAUGGAAUCUUCAUUAUAUGAUAUUUUGCAGUCUGAAAAUAUAUGAAUGAUUUUAUCCAUUUUGAAGAAUUAGGAAAUAACUUGGCAUGGAUUUGAUGGUGUGUGAGCAUCUUGUAAAUGGUUCCUUCUUACGUGAUCAACAGGAAGACUUAAAACUGUUGUUUUAUUGGAAGUUUCCUAUGGGCAGCCACUCACCUUGUUUUAUAUCGCUUCCACCAAUCUCAAGCGAAGGGGAGCCCAACAGAACAGUCUCAAAAGCAGUAAGUAUUCCAACACAGUGCUGCAGAAUGAUCUGGGCUCCCAUUCUUCCUUCAUGCUCUCCAGGCGCCUGUGACAAGGGGCCAAGUCAGCAGCUGAAGGGCAGAGUGUUUUCCAGAUGAGACCCCCUCCUUCCUCCAGGCUCAGCAAGAUGUGCUUGGGCUGCUGGGCUGACCUUCCCAGCCAGGGCUGUUGCUAACUGUCACCUUUUGUUUCAGAUGGCAUCUACACCCAGGUACCACCCGUUCCUCUUGCUGCAGCAUGUUAAAACAACUCAGGUGGCUACAAAAGGCUAAAAAGAAGUAAACUUUUGGAGUCCAUGUUAAAACGAUGUAAGAAACUCGAGUGUGAACACAUAAAAACUUGUCUUUAGUUUCAAAGAUUCAUAUUUAUUAUAAUACAAAAAGAGCAUUUAAGAAGCAGUGAGAUUUGAGAUUCCCCUAUUGAUGCUUUGAUACAAUUUGUGUGCAUUUUACUCCCAAUUACAAUUUUGCUCAUGCCCAACCUAGUAGACAUGCCAACAAUACUGGCCAAUAGUAGUAAUUGUGCAUGGCAGGUACAGCAUCCAACCACAAUACAUAGUUUAUUCAUGAUGCAUCCUUAGAAUUCAAGGAUUUUAUGAGUGAGGACAACAGAUUCAGGUCUCCUGCAAUGAAUGACAAAGAUUCUGUCACACAACGUUACUUAUCUUUUUCUGUGGUAUGAUGAUUUCUUUUAUUUAAACUAAGAUGGACACUGUUACCAUUCUUAUUUAAAAGGUUGCCUGCUCUGAGUUCUGUGAGUGUACGUGCUUGCUGUGUGCUUUGGGGGUGGGGGACACACAGCCCCGAGUUCAGACAUAACCAUCAGUCUGCCAAGGGAACUGUAAAGAGAAGAAAACGUAACAACAAAUGAUCUGCCUAUAUUGUGUGGUUUGAAGGAUUCCUUAUACACCCAGAAGCCUUCUGCCUUGAUUCUGUGCACCCUGCAGACCUCCAGCUGCAGAGGCUUUUAGAACAGCCUGUCUUGAAGCCAGUGGGAUUUGAAGACUGUGAAAACAGAAAUGAACGUCUGCUUGUAGGUUGGGACCUCACUGAAUGCUACGGCUGGAUGCCACGUGGAGAAUCCUGAGCUGAAUAUGGAAUCUAUUCAAGUACUGGAAAGGGGGUAAGUCUUCUCCAUCACUUUAACACUCUAAACUAUAGGCACGUAAACAACAAAGAAGUAAGCGUUCUUUAAACAACUCCAUCAUCACCUUUACCUUCGCUGUAACUCACCAGCCCGUGUUAGUGAAUGGUUUGAGGCUCCGUUCAGUAUUUCAGGUUCUCCAGUGCAGGAAAACUAGUGAUCUUUAUAGUGUUUCUUCAGAGUUCCAAAUUAUGAGCAAUCAGACCGUGCACUUGGGAAAAAAAAGAGGAGACUGCUGCCAUGUAUUACCUAGCACUCCUAUUUUAUGCACUGACACAACAGAUUGCAAUAUGGUAUUUCUCAGGUUUUUACCAUUUCCAUAACAUGCUGCUGGGAGGCGUGAGGUAUUAAGGAUAGCAGAGGCCAAGGUGGGUAACAGCAAAGCUUUAAGGCUGGAUUCCAGUUCUAGUAGCAGAGCAGAAAGUAAAUAGUAGAGUGCUGUAACCCAAACAAUAUACUCCUGUAACUAAAUUGCACCUCACAGAUUUUGCAUUGAGAAUGAGCAUUUGAAAGACAAGGAGUUUGUUUUGCUUUACUCAUUUUCAUUUAUUACCAGUGUUUAGUAUGUGUUGAUUUCCUUAAUUGCAACAAUUUGCUGGGCUGUGACUUGAUUCUUAAAUUACUCAGACUGAGGUGAUCAUCCUGGUGGUUGUGGCAGGGCCAGCUCUUUGAGUUUGGAAACACCGAAUGAUUUUGCUCAUUCUUCUCUUGUUUGCAGUACCUGCUUUUGAAUUUCUUGCUGCAAAAUUGCUUGCUUUUCCUUAAGUUCAGUGCUCCAAUGAUAAGACAUAAGCAGCUCUACUACACUAAACUGGCCAGCAGUAACAGCAGGCUUGUGAAUAAUGUUUUAGUAACAAAUUGGUUUAGAUGCACAUUUGAGAAACUUAUCAAUUAGUAAUCACAAAAAGUCUGAUUUCUAUUUUAUUUUAAUGACAAACAUAAUAAAUAAUAAAGAUAAUUUCCCUGCACAUAGCAGGGGGGUUGAAACUAGAUGAUAAUUGUGGUCCUUUUCAACCCAGGCCAUUGUACAAUUCCAUUCUACAAUAAUAAAGACUCUUUAAACAUGCUUGAA